rnacentral:rRNA from 1 species
UACGUAGGGGGCCAGCGUUGUCCGGACUUACUGGGCGUAAAGCGCGCGCAGGCGGACCUGUAUGUGCCGUGUGAAAGCGCCGGACUUACUUCGGCGAGGUCAUGGUAGACAGCAGGUCUGGAGCCUCGGAGAGGUCGGUGGAAUUCCGGGUGGAGCGGUGAAAUGCGUAGAGAUCUGGAGGAACACCGAUGGCGAAGGCAGCCCCCUGGGCUAACACUGACGCUCAUGCACGAAAGCGUGGGGAGCAAACAGG